GCCGGCGCAGCGCUGGUAACAUCGCAGUCUCCGACGAACGCGCGUCUCAUCUCCUCGCCUCAGCAGUAUCAAAAUAUUAAAUUUUCUCGUAAGCACAUACUAAGUGAUCUAACUUUGCUUGUGAAGUGAUUUGAAUCUUGUGAACUGUGAAGAAACGCCUCUGUUCUGAUUAAAUAUGCGGUGGAGGCGAGAAGAUAUGAAUAUAAUAAUGUCUCCGAAAACUGUG